CAGCCGCCGCGGUAAUACGUAGGGGGCGAGCGUUACCCGGAUUUACUGGGCGUAAAGGGGGCGUAGGCGGCCGUGAAAGUCCGGUGUGAAAACUCACGGCUCAACCGUGGGACUGCGCUGGAAACUACACGGCUUGAGGACGGUAGAGGGAGACGGAACUGCUGGUGUAGGGGUGAAAUCCGUAGAUAUCAGCAGGAACGCCGGUGGAGAAGUCGGUCUCCUGGGCCGUUCCUGACGCUGAGGCCCGAAAGCUAGGGGAGCAAACCGGAUUAGAUACCCGGGUAGUCCUAGCCGUAAACGAUGCCCACUAGGUGUGGGGGAGUAAUUCCUCCGUGCUGAAGCUAACGCGAUAAGUGGGCCGCCUGGGGAGUAUGCCCGCAAGGGUGAAACUUAAAGGAAUUGGCGGG
rnacentral:rRNA from 1 species